rnacentral:ncRNA from 19 species
CUGGAAACAGGGAAUGGUGUCUCCCUUUCACCGCCGACUGGCUGAUGACUCCUGCUGACUG